rnacentral:sRNA from 1 species
AGUCGGGUCCCGAGGCUCCGGCUCGGCAGACCGGGCGGAAAGCAGCCGAGCGGCCAUGGAGCUGUGCGGGCUGGGGCUGCCCCGGCCGCCCAUGCUGCUGGCGCUGCUGUUGGCGACACUGCUGGCGGCGAUGUUGGCGCUGCUGACUCAGGUGGCUCUGGUGGUGCAGGUGGCGGAGGCGGCUCGGGCCCCGGGCGUCUGGGCCAAGCCGAGGCCGGCGCUGUGGCCCCAGCCGCUCUCGGUGAAGAUGACCCCGAACCUGCUGCAUCUCUCCCCGGAGAACUUCUACAUCAGCCACAGCCCCAAUUCCACGGCGGGCCCCUCCUGCACCCUGCUGGAGGAAGCGUUUCGGAGAUAUCAUGGCUAUAUUUUUGGUUUCUACAAGUGGCAUCAUGAACCUGCUGAAUUCCAGGCUAGAACCCAGCUUCAGCAACUUCUUGUCUCAAUCACCCUUCAGUCAGAGUGUGAUGCUUUCCCCAACAUAUCUUCAGAUGAGUCUUGUAAGUACCUAUGCAAUGUGAGUGUAUUAUAUCCCAGGUGCUCGCUGACGGACUUAAGUGCCAAAAACUGGCUCCAUGCUAGGAACCACUGUGAGUUCUCAACCAGUGAGUUUAUGAUUCCUAUUUUUAAAAUAACCUUUAAAGUCUGAUUAUAAAAGUAGUACAUAGUCUUUGUGGAAAAUUUGUAAGUACAGUAAGUGCAGAAGAAGAAAUAAAUCACUCACAAUCCCAGCAGACAGAAUUAAUCACUGUCAUUUUAGGUGUAUUUUUUUGCAGAGUAAAACAUGUAAACAUUUUACAUAGACAUAAAUACAAACAUGAUAAGUAUUGACAUGAAAAUGGCAGUAAUUCUGUACAUGUGCUUCUUGUAUUUUUGU